rnacentral:rRNA from 1 species
UGGGGAAUAUUGGACAAUGGGCGAAAGCCUGAUCCAGCCAUGCCGCGUGUGUGAAGAAGGUCUUCGGAUUGUAAAGCACUUUAAGUUGGGAGGAAGGGCAGUAAGCGAAUACCUUGCUGUUUUGACGUUACCGACAGAAUAAGCACCGGCUAACUCUGUGCCAGCAGCCGCGGUAAUACAGAGGGUGCAAGCGUUAAUCGGAAUUACUGGGCGUAAAGCGCGCGUAGGUGGUUCGUUAAGUUGAAUGUGAAAGCCCCGGGCUCAACCUGGGAACUGCAUCCAAAACUGGCGAGCUAGAGUAGGGCAGAGGGUGGUGGAAUUUCCUGUGUAGGGGUGAAAUGCGUAGAUAUAGGAAGGAACACCAGUGGCGAAGGCGACCACCUGGGCUCAUACUGACACUGAGGUGCGAAAGCGUGGGGAGCAAACAGG